UCUUCCUUACGUGUUCUGUUUUCUAUUUGCUUCCAAUGAAAGUCAUGCCGAUUCGAGGAAUCGAUGAUGUUGAUGAGAGAGAAGAUCCUUCUGUGAUUGUUGAGAAAGAGGUGACAGAAUCAGUUUCAAGCUCACCACAAGAUGUGCAAACUAACAGAAGUAGGGAAAAUGUCAUGAAGACUGAACCUUCUCAACAGAUUGGUAUGGAUGGAGAAACGAGCAUGGAGGCCUCCAUGUCUGCUGAUGAUGUUUUACGGGCUGGAGGGUUUGGUGCGAGGGAUGAUAUUGGCAGUUUUCUUCCUGUUGCAAGUGAUUCUACUGACUUUGAGGCUACAAUUCGCAGUGCUCGAGCAUAUGAAGGACCACAGGGGGAGAUUUCUAGACCAGGUCUUGGCUGGAAAGAAGCUACAAAAACUGAGUAGUUCUGCUUUGAGCAUUUUGUCUGUGUCCAACUUCAGUCAUUUGAGUGGCUUUCUGGAAGAUUCUUUGUCCCGGGGCAAGGAUUGAUAAUGGGUCAUAGGCAGAUUUCCUCUCCAUCAGUACCCUCCAUUUGGAGCCAAAAUGAGCUUGCCACUCGUCUUGGGAGCUAUAAUGAGGCAGAUAUUGCGUACAUCCAGGAAGAUCCCUGACACAGUAGUCCAGAAUUAUUUGGUUUUGGGCUAAAAUGUACUCUAAGCUUUGUUUUCCGGUUGAAGUUGGCAGUGCAGAAAAUAAGAAACCCACUAGAGUUGAAGUACAUGGCCAUUUCUAGACAAUACAGUGUUGUUCUAUCUGAGACGAAUUGGCUGGCUUGAACUGGAUCUUUGGGAUCAAAUGAAGAUCUCCAAUUAUUGAGAAUGCCAGUUCUAUUUAUUAGAACAAAGCCUUCAAUAUAAUCAAAGGAGUACUUGGUGGAUAUCAGAUGUUCCUGGUCCUUGGAGAAUAUGGCGAAGUCUGAAUACAAGGGUAUAUUACCAUUUUUGGUGCUGAUUCUAGAGAAAUCCUUGCCCUUGUGAUGAUGCCAAACUGACCAAGGCCUCCAAGUACACUGUAAAACAGGUCUGCAUUCUGCUGCGCUGAACAGAAUUCAAAGUGGAGACCGCUGUUGCUGAAAACAAUAAGUAUAAACUUUUAUUGAAAGGAGAGAAGCAGGGGAUGUUGAAGAUUGUCGGGUGAGGCCUAUUAAAAGCACUGUAAGUUGUUUUGAAUAGUAUUGAUUCUAUUAUUAUACUUGUUUUGAGAAAAGUCAGGUGACAAAGUGAGAUGAGCUGAAGCAAGAUAAAGAGUACAGUGGUGAGUUGAAAUGGACCAUCUGGAGUUCCUUGGGGAUGUUUGACGUAUGGAGAAUGGUCCAAAGUCUUAAAGGUAUUUGAUCACUGUAAGUAAGGUCAUGCGGGUCCCUCAACAUGUGAUCACCACGAGGAGCCCCACAGGUACAACAAUUCCCCUCACUCUCACCUUUACUCUCCAAGUUGAAUUUUCAAGAAAAUUCCUAAUUUCCAUUCUGCUUAAAGGAACAUGUUUAUUUGUGUAUUUUACACGCUUUACAGUAUCUUACACGAACUCUCUCUAGAUUAAGAAGUUUGAUUGAAGAACAUUAGUAGGGACAGUGAUUAGAAUUCUGGUAUGAAAUCUAUGCAUUCUCUCUCUAUGUGCAGCAUUUUCUUCUCUAAUAUAUACACCAUAUACCAUGUAGGAGAGAAUGGUGGGAACAGAUGGGUAUGUGAGGCAUGUAAAUCAAUGUCGCACUAACAGAACAUAGUACAAUUAUUGUAGUAGUUGUCUCUUCUGAGGAGGGGUUGUGACAGAAGCUUUAAAGAAAUCACCUCGAACACCUCGUGGUAGAAAGCUACUCGGUCGCCCUACCAAGUUUUACAGAUUGACAUCCAUCUUUUUGCAAGCUGCAUUGAUGUCGAUGUGCCUUGGCCAUUGGCCUUUUGAAUGAUAAGGAUUCUGAAUAGACAAUUUCAUGAGUUGAUUUCCAAGAGGGAGUGAGUUCUGAUUUUAGGAUAACAUUUUAAUGCUUGCUGCUUUAUGUGUGGUAUUAUUAUCAUUAUUGUUGUUGAAAUCUUAGUCCCUACAUCAUUUUAGAAAAAGAUUCACAUUUAAUAUUUA